AAUGAACCAAGUGUCCACUGCUAUGCUGGUUGCUUGGCUCUAUUUUACCUUGUAGUGGUCGCGAAGGAAGGAGGAUCCGGGCAGUUCUAGUUCUAUUUCACUGCAUAAACGCUCGCUCAGUCCGAACAAAAUUAUUAGCUCAGAAUAGUUCUCCAAGGAUGGUGUUUUUGACGGUGACAACCUGCUGCUUCAGAGGACCGAAACGUCUGGAAAGAAAACACUUUGUUUACCAUGCAAAGUACUAUGAAGACAGCACUGAUCUCGACAAGAGGCGCAACAUGCAGAGAAAUUCACAAUUCAGGGUAAUCAUAUCUACCUACCUACGGGGGAAGGAUGGCCAGCCACACGGGAGGGUGAUUUUUACUAAGGAGGAGAAGGAGGCCACUCUGACCGUGCUGACCGAGAUGCGUGGUGGCAUUUCAGAGUGAAACGCAUGAUUGCCAAAAUCAACCUAUGCUUCU